CUUUUAAGCAUGCCAGUAAAGUUACUGCCAGUCCCAAAUCUGGUAAAAUGCGAGGGAAAA
rnacentral:ribozyme from 2 species